UAUUCAUCUAUUUUACUGUAAAAAUAAAACUCUAAGAGGAAUUUACUACAACUUCAAAGUAUCACGAGCAAGACACAAAUGUCGGAUUUUGAGUUCCACGGUACUGACUCAUUUAUCCACGGUACUGACAUGGUAACUUAAGAUAUUAAACAACAAGUGCAUCAAUUUUCCUCAGUUUGAUCAUAAACAUUAGAAUUUAUAAGGAAUGGACAUGACACGGUACUGACAUGGUAACUUAAGAUAUUAAACAACAAGUGCAUCAAUUUUCCUCAGUUUGAUCAUAAACAUUAGAAUUUAUAAGGAAUGGACAUGACACGGUACUGACAUUCAAGUGAUGUAGUAUAAGUUUUCUUUAAGUGGCAAGUUAUAUUGUAUAAAAAUAAUGUUUAAAUAUCUUAAGAAUUAUUCAAUUAAC